CCUACGGGUGGCAGCAGUGGGGAAUAUUGCACAAUGGGGGAAACCCUGAUGCAGCGACGCCGCGUGAGUGAAGAAGUAUUUCGGCAUGUAAAGCCCUAUCAGCAGGGAAGAUAAUGACGGUACCUGACUAAGAAGCCCCGGCUAACUACGUGCCAGCAGCCGCGGUAAUACGUAGGGGGCAAGCGUUAUCCGGAUUUACUGGGUGUAAAGGGAGCGUAGGCGGCAGGGCAAGUCAGAUGUGAAAACCCGGGGCUCAACCCCGGGACUGCAUUUGAAACUGUGCAGCUAGAGUGCAGGAGAGGUAGGCGGAAUUCCUGGUGUAGCGGUGAAAUGCGUAGAUAUUAGGAGGAACACCAGUGGCGAAGGCGGCUUGCUGGACUGUAACUGACGCUGAGGCUCGAAAGCGUGGGGAGCAAACAGGAUUAGAUACCCGUGUAGUC
rnacentral:rRNA from 1 species